rnacentral:lncRNA from 1 species
ACCCCUAUAACAGAAGAGAUCUUGAUCAGUCAUAAAAGUAAUUUUUUUCAUCUUCAAGUACCAUCUGGAUCUAAUUGUAGUCGAAAAAAAUAUCCAUGAAGAUGAGGAGUCUAUAGCCCAAUGUGGCAUCCACCAAUUAAUUGAUUCAAGGAAGAGAAUAGCUAUCUUUUGGAUAGUUCUUAUUCAAGUCGAUGAAGUCUAUGC